rnacentral:rRNA from 1 species
GUGGGGAAUAUUGGGCAAUGGGGGCAACCCUGACCCAGCGACGCCGCGUGGGUGAAGAAAUCCCUCGGGAUGUAAAGCCCUGUUGUAUGGGAAGAGCAGAAGACGGUACCAUACGAGGAAGCCCCGGCAAACUACGUGCCAGCAGCCGCGGUAAUACGUAGGGGGCAAGCGUUGUCCGGAAUUACUGGGCGUAAAGCGCACGCAGGCUGAAUUAUAAGUCGGUAGUCAAAUACGGAGGCUCAACUUCCGGAUAUCUAUCGAUACUGUAAAUCUAGAGUAUGUGAGAGGGAAGCGGAAUUCCCGGGGUAGCGGUGAAAUGCGUAGAUAUCGGGAGGAACACCAGUGGCGAAGGCGGCUUCCUGGCACAAUACUGACGCUCAUGUGCGAAAGCUAGGGCAGCGAACGGGAUUAGAAACCCCAGUAGUCC